rnacentral:rRNA from 1 species
CCACGCUGUAAACGAUGUCGAUUUGGAGUUUGGGGGCAUGACCCUUGGGCUCCGGAGCUAACGCGUUAAAUCGACCGCUGGGGAGUACGGCCGCAAGGUUAAAACUCAAAUGAAUUGACGGGGGCCCGCACAAGCGGUGGAGCAUGUGGUUUAAUUCGAUGCAACGCGAAGAACCUUACCUGGUCUUGACAUCCAUAGAAUCUUUCAGAGAUGAGAGAGUGCCUUCGGGAGCUAUGAGACAGGUGCUGCAUGGCUGUCGUCAGCUCGUGUUGUGAAAUGUUGGGUUAAGUCCCGCAACGAGCGCAACCCCUAUCCUUUGUUGCCAGCACGUAAUGGUGGGAACUCAAAGGAGACUGCCGUUGAUAAAGCGGAGGAAGGUGGGGACGACGUCAAGUCAUCAUGGCCCUUACGACCAGGGCUACACACGUGCUACAAUGGCGUAUACAAAGGGAUGCGAAGGUGCGAACUGGAGCGGACCUCACAAAGUACGUCUAAGUCCGGAUUGGAGUCUGCAACUCGACUCCAUGAAGUCGGAAUCGCUAGUAAUCGUGAAUCAGAAUGUCACGGUGAAUACGUUCCCGGGCCUUGUACACACCGCCCGUCACACCAUGGGAGUGGGUUGCACCAGAAGUAGAUAGCUUAACCUUCGGGAGGGCGUUUACCACGGUGUGGUUCAUGACUGGGGUGAAGUCGUAACAAGGUAACCA